GGUUCUAUAGUGUAGCGGGUAGCACAUUUGCUUUACAUGCAGAAGGUCCUGGGUUCGUGCCCCAGUGGAGCCA
rnacentral:tRNA from 1 species